UACGUAGGGUGCGAGCGUUGUCCGGAAUUAUUGGGCGUAAAGAGCUCGUAGGCGGUUUGUCGCGUCGACUGUGAAAACUUGGGGCUUAACCCUGAGCUUGCGGUCGAUACGGGCAUGACUGGAGUUCGGCAGGGGAGACUGGAAUUCCUGGUGUAGCGGUGAAAUGCGCAGAUAUCAGGAGGAACACCGGUGGCGAAGGCGGGUCUCUGGGCCGAUACUGACGCUGAGGAGCGAAAGCGUGGGGAGCGAACAGG
rnacentral:rRNA from 1 species